rnacentral:ncRNA from 2 species
AUAAAAAGCUAGGGGUGCCAUGUACAUGGCUGAGAGGAUUCGUUCCGACCCUUUGAACCUGAAUUGGUUAAGACCAACGGAGGGAAGCAGAAGACGUACGUA